rnacentral:piRNA from 1 species
UGUCAUGCCAAUACAUGCUUGGGUCUUGU